AUGGUCUCAGAAAGGCUCCUGUGUGGUUGAACUUGCCUAAUGUGGGUGCAUCCUCAUACCUGACAGUUCAACCUUGACCUAAAGUAUAUUCCCAUAGAAUAAUUUCCUAGGCUCAGAAUUUGCAAUUACAGGUGUGAAGAUUCUUACAGUAAUUGGAUGAUUGUAUGUAUGUUGAUGAUGCAAACAGGA
ensembl:scaRNA small Cajal body-specific RNA 16